CCCAUCGGCCGUCGUUUCCCAUCCCUCCUCCGUGUGCGAUUGGCGCCUGCCAAUAAACUGCCAAGGCGAGGCAACCACCGCGGAAUUACUUCAGGUUUCGCGAUUUUAUCUGGAUAUAGAUACCCACUGCAGAGUUUGUGCCCUUGUUUUCAGGUGCCGACGUUCGUGCCCUUCUUCUCUAGCGUCGGCGUACAGAGGAUGGUGCGCUGGCUACAAGGGCUUCCUCGAUGCGUAGGCUGAUGAUUUCUUACUGAUUUGGGGACUAUUUGUAUUACUGGUGAUUCGGAAUUGAGGAGAAAGGAGUUGUCCCAUGCCACGGUUCCAAUCGGCUGGUAAUCCACGUGCUUCUUUCUCCUCGUGCUCUAAAUUGGUUACCAGUAUUAAGAUUUACUAUAUAAUUCUUUUAUUCAAGUCCUGGCCAAGUCUUUUGUUGCUUGGAUCCAAAUACCCUGCUGGGUUGGAGAUCUGAUGGACUUCCUCUCAGAUCGCAAAUUGCUAUAUUUAGCUGAAGACUAUGUACGUACUGUCAAUACUGAGCAACUAAUCUGGAACAACGACGGUGCAAUUUUUUUAUAUGGUAUUUUUUGUGAGGGUUCUUUUUGUGGCACAUACGAUACUGGUUUUAUGUGUGUACGAUUGUUUCUUAUAUUGAAGUAUGAAAAGGAGGGAGUAUAUAUUUUAUCAGUUCCUUUUAGAGCAAUCCUAACUGUUCUAUUGAAGGUAUCUUGAGAAAGCACGCCACAGAGCUGUGUACACAACUAGAAAUUGAACUUGUGGUUGUUCGACUCUCUGCAGCAGCAGUUUAAAGGGAUAUACACUUGAGUUAGGUGCACUGGUUUUUCUAAUAGAGUCAUAUGCUUUUUUGAGGAAUUUGAUAAGAAGAACGAUCAAGGGUGAUUAUUCCUUAAGGCAUUCAGCAAAAAGUAUCAGUAAAUAAAAGUCAAGAAUUUCCCACCCCUGCAAGCAUGAUCCAAUGUUAUUGCUGCAACAUACUUGAGUUGGAGGAAGGUAUGUCCUAUCCUAUGAAACCAACAAAGUGCACGGAAUGAUGUAUUCUCCAGGAUGGAAGUGUUACCUGAAGUGCUAACCUAUCUGUUUUGACCAUAUUUUGGGUUUGAGCUGAUUAGAUGUUUUCCUCUUUUAUGGAUGUGUCACACACUGAAAGUAAUAUGGCAUAUAUCAUGUGACUAGGAAAUCCAAAGGAUACAGAUUUCUCAAGUUCCUUAAAAAAAUUGAUGUAGUGCAUUGGAGAAGAGGAGUGACAAGCUGCUUGAUGGAAGGAAGAUAUGAUGCGCCGUGCAAACAACCAAUGCUAUUUGUUGCUGUUGAGUUAGUAUGGUUCUUAUUCCAUAUCAUCUGUUGCAUUCGGAAUUUAUGAUACUAAAUGGAGUUGUUCAGUCCUGGACAUCAAGAGAAAAUAUACCCCAACAACAUAGGAGCCACCACAGCCAUUUGAAGCCUUCUAAUGUUUGAUCCUACAACCCAAUGGCCAAUGCUCUAGAUCGUCCUAGCACUGUAAGUUUAGUCUUAUGCCUAAUUGCCUAUUAUAGAAAUAGACAUUUUUUCUUGUUUUCAUCUUGGCAUUGCUAUAUUUGAUUGGGCUAUCUGAGCAUAUCAUUUGUGGAAGGAAUUUAUGUUACACAUGUAUUGGUUAUUAAUUUGAUUGGGCCAUCUGAGCAUAUUA